rnacentral:misc_RNA from 1 species
AACGCACAUUGCGCCCUCUGGUAUUCCGGAGGGCAUGCCUGUUCGAGCGUCAUUUCAACCCUCAAGCAUUGCUUGGUGUUGGGGCACCGCCUGUAAAAGGGCGGGCCCUGAAAUCUAGUGGCGAGCUCGCCAGGGCCCCGAGCGUAGUAAUUAUAUUUCGUUCUGGAAGGCCCUGGCGGUGCCCUGCCGUUAAACCCCCAACUUCUGAAAAUUUGACCUCGGAUCAGGUAGGAAUACCCGCUGAACUUAA